rnacentral:lncRNA from 1 species
ACGUCGCGGCCCCCCAUGAAGAGCCACGGGGCACGGUCUUGAUCGCCGCCGUCGCCGUCUCGUCAAUAACCACCACAGCACCGCUGUCAGAUUUGGCUAAGGUGUGGCGGCUAGGAUUGGUAGGACAAGGAGCGUGGCGACGGCAGCAGCCAUGGCGCAUGAAUGAGCGCAGGGCAGCCAUGGCGCAUGGUGCUCACAAGGUGCUCGAC